rnacentral:rRNA from 1 species
CCCUUAGAUGUCCGGGGCUGCACGCGCGCUACACUGAAGGAAUCAGCGUGCUAAAACCAUUGUCGAAAGGCAUUGGUAAACCCAUUAAAAUCCUACGUGAUUGGGAUCGGGAAUUGCAAUUAUUUCCCUUGAACGAGGAAUUCCCAGUAAGUGUGGGUCAUAAGCUCGCGUUGAUCACGUCCCUGCCCUUUGUACACACCGCCCGUCGCUGCCCGGGACUGAGCCGUUUCGAGAAAAGCGGGGACUGCUGCUGUCGGGGCUUUCGGGCCUUGGCUUCGGUGGAAACCGCUUUAAUCGCAGUGGCUUGAACCGGGCAAAAGUCGUAACA